AGGAACUUAGGUUAACCUCAGACCCGGGGCCUUCAAAGCCCCAAGCGAGGGUUAAAACCCCUCAGUCCCUG
rnacentral:tRNA from 1 species